CUUCAAUGAUGAUAUUCUUAUUCAGUUCUGCUUCUGAAAAGAAUGAAGACAACUUUAUACCAAAAUCUAUCUGAUAA
rnacentral:snoRNA from 1 species